rnacentral:rRNA from 1 species
AUUGAACGCUGGCGGCAGGCCUAACACAUGCAAGUCGAACGAGGGGCGGACGGGUGAGUAAUGUCUGGGAAACUGCCCGAUGGAGGGGGAUAACUACUGGAAACGGUAGCUAAUACCGCGUACCAUAGGAUGUGCCCAGAUGGGAUUAGCUUGUAGGUGAGGGAACGGCUCACCUAGGCGACGAUCCCUAGCUGGUCUGAGAGGAUGACCAGCCACACUGGAACUGAGACACGGUCCAGACUCCUACGGGAGGCAGCAGUGGGGAAUAUUGGACAAUGGGCGAAAGCCUGAUGCAGCCAUGCCGCGUGUAUGAAGAAGGCCUUCGGAUUGUAAAGUACUUUAAGCGGGGAGGCGUUACCAGCAGAAGAAGCACCGGCUAACUCCGUGCCAGCAGCCGCGGUAAGAC